rnacentral:rRNA from 1 species
ACACAUGCAGUCGAACGGAUCCUUCGGGAUUAGUGGCGGACGGGUGAGUAACACGUGGGAACGUGCCUUUUGGUUCGGAACAACUCAGGGAAACUUGAGCUAAUACCGGAUAAGCCUUUCGAGGGAAAGAUUUAUCGCCAUUAGAGCGGCCCGCGUAGGAUUAGCUAGUUGGUGGGGUAAAGGCCCACCAAGGCUACGAUCCUUAGCUGGUCUGAGAGGAUGAUCAGCCACAUUGGGACUGAGACACGGCCCAAACUCCUACGGGAGGCAGCAGUGGGGAAUCUUGCGCAAUGGGCGAAAGCCUGACGCAGCCAUGCCGCGUGAAUGAUGAAGGUCUUAGGAUUGUAAAAUUCUUUCACCGAGGACGAUNAUGACGGUACUCGGAGAAGAAGCCCCGGCUAACUUCGUGCCAGCAGCCGCGGUAAUACGAAGGGGGCUAGCGUUGCUCGGAAUUACUGGGCGUAAAGGGAGCGUAGGCGGAUAGUUUAGUCAGAGGUGAAAGCCCAGGGCUCAACCUUGGAAUUGCCUUUGAUACUGGCUAUCUUGAGUACGGAAGAGGUAUGUGGAACUCCGAGUGUAGAGGUGAAAUUCGUAGAUAUUCGGAAGAACACCAGUGGCGAA